rnacentral:rRNA from 1 species
GACGAACGCUGGCGGCGUGCUUAACACAUGCAAGUCGAACGGAAAGGCCCUGCUUUUGUGGGGUGCUCGAGUGGCGAACGGGUGAGUAACACGUGAGUAACCUGCCCUUGACUUUGGGAUAACUUCAGGAAACUGGGGCUAAUACCGGAUAGGAGCUCCUGCUGCAUGGUGGGGGUGGGAAAGUUUCGGCGGUUGGGGAUGGACGCGCGGCUUAUCAGCUUGUUGGUGGGGUAGUGGCUUACCAAGGCAUUGACGGGUAGCCGGCCUGAGAGGGUGACCGGCCACAUUGGGACUGAGAUACGGGCCAGACUCCUACGGGAGGCAGCAGUGGGGAAUAUUGCACAAUGGGCGGAAGCCUGAUGCAGCAACGCCGCGUGCGGGAUGACGGCCUUCGGGUUGUAAACCUCUUUCGCCUGUGACGAAGCGUGAGUGACGGUAAUGGGUAAAGAAGCACCGGCUAACUACGUG